rnacentral:miRNA from 1 species
AGACCUGGCUUAGACCUCAGC